GCUGGAGCUGGGGCACCCCCAAACAGGCAGCCCCUCGGGCACGGCUCUGCCCCUGUGCACUCGCUGGGUGGAUCUUGUGAGGCCGUGCCCAGCUCUGCCCCCAGCCUCACCCCACAAGGUGCCCGCAGCCCCAGCCCCGAGCCCGCUCCUUGUGCAGGAGAACAAAACCUCCCCACCCAGCCCCUGCACCCUGGGGUGACGGGGUGGUCACUGCCUGGGGGGGACACAGGGACACCCUCCGCCCUGCUGCUCCCAGUGCUGGGGACACGGAGCUGCCGUGCUCCACCGGGGUGCUGGCAGGGCUCGGCCAGGCGAUGCUGCAACGUUGGCUCUGCCGCUCCAUCCCCACCCCAUCCCCACCCUCCCCAUCCCCAUCCCCAUCCCCAUUCCCAUCCCAUCCCUGGGCUCAUUGCCCCCAUCCACAGCCCCCAGUUGAACCCAGUACAAGCCGAGGCUGGGGCAGAGCCGCCCCCCACCCGGUGCCCGGAGCUGGUGCCUCCUGACCGAAGUUUCCCGACGAAGUCGCUCAGGGCCCUGCCCUCCCUGGCACAUGGCUCCGGUGGGCACCGUCCCCUCCCCGGCACCACGGCACCACUCGGCAUCCCCCAGCAAAAGGGUUCAGAGCCCCCUGCCCUGCCCGGCCACCCCCCUCACCUGGGUGCUGGUGGCCCGGGAGCCUUGCGGGGCCGGCCGAGAGCUGGCGUGGCUGGCGGAGCCGGUGUGCCAGCCGGAGCCGGUGUGCCAGCCGGAGCUGCCGCCGCUGCCACCUCCACACAACUGACUCAAGCUGCAGUUCGGGAGCGGAGCCCUAAGAGGGAGACUACAAUCUCCGUUAACUGCCUCACUGCCGGCACCGGAGCAGAGCCCGCCUGCGGGCACGGGGGCUCCGUGAUGCCUCCGGGGUCCCCGGUACAGGUGGCCACGCCAGGGCGCACGGCACAGCGCUGGGGGCACCUCCAUCCAGCCCCCCUGCACCCUGCCUGGCACAGCCCUUGCUCCAUGCACCCCACAGACCCCUUAUCACUCCCCAUGGGGUGCCUGAGGCCUGUCCCAUCCCCUGUGUGCCCCUGUCCCCGUGUCCCCCACUGGAGCUGUCCCUGCCCCAACAGGGGGGUCAUGGCGUGCCCAAGCCCCCAGUGCCGGAGCCCCCAUCCUGGUCUGGGGUUGCCCCCACACCCCACCCGUCCCUGGAGCACUGCAGCGCUGUCAGCUCGGCUGCGUGAGGGAUGA
rnacentral:lncRNA from 1 species